rnacentral:lncRNA from 1 species
UUUUAGGGACCCAACUCACCUUGGAUUUGAGCUGUUUUUCUUCUCACGCUCAGGGACACGACAGCUAGUGCUAAAAGAGGCUGUGAGAGGAUGGGACAGUGGACUCACCUGCGAGUCGACUAGGCGGGGGGCAUGGCGGCUCCUCAGACGCCCUCUGACCUCCGUGGGAGCCAUCUUCCAGCGUGCAGCCGCGAGCCGCACCUGACGCUAAGGCCCCCUGGGCGCAUGCGCAGCAGCGCCCACUUCCGGCCUCCCGGACCCCGCCCGGUGGAGAUGCGUUGCUCUGCGGGUCCUCGACCAGCCAGCCUCCUGGGUCCGUUUUGAACCGCACCCUGGACCUCCUGAGGUUGUGGACCCACCGGCUAGCAACAAAACUUUCUUCAUGUUUGUUAGUAAAUUUUAUAUAGGAGACAGAAGCUGCUCACAGCUUGUGCUUAAAUUCCAUCACCGGGGAAAUGUUUGCAAAGAUUUCUCAUGUCUUGUAAAUGUUGGGAAUCCAGAUUUGCCUAGAGCGUGGACGGAGAAGAUGACGUCUCCACUGGUAGCUUCCUUGGCUCAUAGCACCUGCUUCCCAGGGAAUUCCUCUCCAAACAGAUGGAGUGAGGUGUUCCUCAGCAUGUUGGGUACCUCUCACAUGAGGGUGCAGUUCUGCCAAGAUCUCCGCCUUCUCCAUGAGUGUGUGAGCUCCUGA